rnacentral:rRNA from 1 species
GACGAACGCUGGCGGCGUGCUUAACACAUGCAAGUCGAACGGAAAGGCCCUGCUUUUGUGGGGUGCUCGAGUGGCGAACGGGUGAGUAACACGUGAGUAACCUGCCCUUGACUUUGGGAUAACUUCAGGAAACUGGGGCUAAUACCGGAUAGGAGCUCCUGCUGCAUGGUGGUGGUUGGAAAGUUUCGGCGGUUGGGGAUGGACUCGCGGCUUAUCAGCUUGUUGGUGGGGUAGUUGCUUACCAAGGCUUUGACGGGUAGCCGGCCUGAGAGGGUGACCGGCCACAUUGGGACUGAGAUACGGCCCAGACUCGUACGGGUGGCAGCAGUGGGGAAUAUUGCACAAUGGGCGGAAGCGUGAUGCAGCAACGCCGCGUGCGGGAUGACGGCCUUCGGGUUGUAAACCGCUUUCGCCUGUGACGAAGAGUGAGUGACGGUAAUGGGUAAAGAAGCACCGGCUAACUACGUG